rnacentral:lncRNA from 1 species
GGAGGGCCAAAAGCAAGAGUGAAGCCCCCUCUCCAUCUCUCAUUCCUUUCUUUGCGAUUCUUGCGUUUUCGAUUGAUCGAAAGGUUCUUGGGCUCAGUUCUUUAAAGAUCUAUCUCUCCUUUCUUUCUUUGCGAUUCUUGCGUUUUCGAUUGAUCAAAAGGUUCUUGGGCACCAGUUCUUCGAAAGUAUUAUCAACUUAUCAUAAUUCUUCAUUUGUUUCUUGCGUUUUCGAUUGAUCUUUGGCUCAGUUCUUUAAGAUCGGCACUGUUUGGGGAAGGAUUUGGGGCAUCACUUCUUGGCGAGUAUAAGUGUAUAACCACCAUGUCAAGAUCCUUCAGUUGUAAUUCUGGAUGUUUGGUUUCCAAAAUUUUAUUAUUUUACCCAUCUUCUCCAGCCAUUUCGUGAGAACGGCCCGGCUCCAGCUCAUCCUCAGAUCGUAUUCGAGGCAAGGGUUUGGAAUUCUGGAUUCUUGAUAUAUCAUCUCUCUCUCUCUCUCGCUCGCUCGCUCGCUCGCUCGCAGGUAGAUAUCUUAUUAGAUACUUCAGAUAACAUACUAGUCUUCCAAAACUUGUAAUCUUGACUAUUUUUUUUAAUGGAUUUGUUUUAUAGUGUGAACCAGAGAUGAAUCUAGGGCUGAGACAACGCAAACUACUGAUUCAUUGAGACUAGAUUUGGCUGAUAUUCCUUUGUUUCACAAUGUGGGUUAUGCAUCAACCCAAUUGUAGGGACGUUUUACAUGGAAACUUUGUGCUCUAUGCCAUUGGAUGUUUGUUAUUUCUAAUAUUUGGACGUAUGUUCUUGUGCAGAUGUUUCUUUAAAUAUUAGUCAUUUUCUAGAUCAUCUUUGAUCUGUUUUUCAUGUUGUUUAUUUGUUACUAUAACAAUCUGUUUAUUAGAACUGAAGGCUGUAUCAUGUCUCAAUUUGCUUCAGCGGUUGGUGAUAUUGCAUUACUGUUUUUCUUUUAAAGCAUACAGUUGAUGGAAUUUCAAGAUCGUACAGUUUUGGUUUAGUAAUUCUGUUUAUCUGAUUGUUUAUCUUGUUGUUUUUUUCUCUCUUAAUAAGUCGAUCCAUUAUUUAUCUUAAAUGCUAACUAACUACUUCAUAAGCACAUUUAAUGCACUUGUGCUUUUUAAAUAUAGAAAAAGAAGAAAUAUAUUAAAAUAAUAAAAAAAGCAUAAGAUAUAUCAAUAUAGCUAAAGAUGUAAAUUAUAUAAUGUUUAAAAAUUGCAGCUUUAAGAUUCCACCUGUUGAAGAUCUAUCAGGAAAACAAAAAAACCUUUUUCAGUAUUAGCUU